rnacentral:piRNA from 1 species
UUGAUCAAGGUAGAGUUAUCGCGUG